AUUGAACGCUGGCGGCAGGCCUAACACAUGCAAGUCGAACGAGUGGCGGACGGGUGAGUAAUGUCUGGGAAACUGCCUGAUGGAGGGGGAUAACUACUGGAAACGGUAGCUAAUACCGCAUACCAUCAGAUGUGCCCAGAUGGGAUUAGCUAGUUGGUGGGGUAACGGCUCACCAAGGCGACGAUCCCUAGCUGGUCUGAGAGGAUGACCUGCCAAACUGGAACGGAAAAACGGUCCAGACUCCUAGGGGAUGCAGUAGUGGGGAAUAUCGCACAAUGGGAGGAAGCCUGAGGCAGCCAUGCCGCGAGUAUGAAGAAGGCCUUCGGGUUGUAAAGUACUUUCAGCGGGGAGGCGUUACCCGCAGAAGAAGCACCGGCUAACUCCGUGCCAGCAGCCGCGGUAAUA
rnacentral:rRNA from 1 species